GGUUUGAUUAUGGCUCAGAUUGAACGCUGGCGGGAUGCUUUACACAUGCAAGUCAGGCAACGGCACGGACUUCGGUCUGGUGGCGAGUGGCGAACGGGUGAGUAAUGUAUCGGAACGUGCCUAGUAGCGGGGGAUAACUACGCGAAAGCGUAGCUAAUACCACAUACGCCCUUCGGGGGAAAGCGGGGGACCUUCGGGCCUCGCACUAUUAGAGCGGCCGAUAUCGGAUUAGCUAGUUGGUGGGGUAACGGCUCACCAAGGCGGCGAUCCGUAGCUGGUUUUGAGGGACGACCAGCCACACUGGGACUGAGACACGGCCGAACUCUACGGGAGGCAGCAGUGGGGAAUUUUGGACAAUGGGGCUCCCUGAUCCAGCCAUCCCGCGUGUGCGAUGAAGGCCUUCCGGGUUGUAAAGCACUUUUGGCAGGAAAGAAACGGCACGGGAUAAUACCCCGUGCAACUGACGGUACCUGCAGAAUAAGCACCGGCUAACUACGUGCCAGCAGCCGCGGUAAUACGUAGGGUGCAAGCGUUAAUCGGAAUUACUGGGCGUAAAGCGUGCGCAGGCGGUUCGGAAAGAAAGAUUGAAAUCCCAGAGCUUAACUUUGGAACUGCAUUUUUAACUACCGAGCUAGAGUGUGUCAGGGAGGUGGAAUUCCGCGUGUAGCAGUGAAAUGCGUAGAUAUGCGGAGGAACACCGAUGGCGAAGGCAGCCUCCUGGGAUAACACUGACGCUCAUGCACAGCGUGGGGAGCAAACAGGAUUAGAUACCCUGGUAGUCCACGCCCUAAACGAUGUCAACUAGCUGUUUGGGGCCUUCGGGCCUUGGUAGCGCAGCUAACGCGUGAAGUUGACCGCCUGGGGAGUACGGUCGCAAGAUUAAAACUCAAAGGGAAUUGACGGGGACCCGCACAAGCGGUGGAUGAUGUGGAUUAAUUCGAUGCAACGCGAAAACCUUACCUACCCUUGACAUGUCUGGAAUCCCGAAGAGAUUUGGGAGUGCUCGCAAGAGAACCGGAACACAGGUGCUGCAUGGCUGUCGUCAGCUCGUGUCGUGAGAUGUUGGGUUAAGUCCCGCAACGAGCGCAACCCUUGUCAUUAGUUGCUACGAAAGGGCACUCUAAUGAGACUGCCGGUGACAAACCGGAGGAAGGUGGGGAUGACGUCAAGUCCUCAUGGCCCUUAUGGUGGAGCUUCACACGUCAUACAAUGGUCGGGACAGAGGGUCGCCAACCCGCGAGGAGAGAGCCAAUCCCAGAAACCCGAUCGUAGUCCGGAUCACAGUCUGCAACUCGACUGCGUGAAGUCGGAAUCGCUAGUAAUCGCGGAUCAGCAUGUCGCGGUGAAUACGUUCCCACGGGUCUUGUACACACCGCCCGUCACACCAUGGGAGUGGGUUUUACCAGAAGUAGUUAGCCUAACCGUAAGGAGGGCGAUUACCACGGUAGGAUUCAUGACUGGGGUGAAGUCGUAACAAAGGUAG
rnacentral:rRNA from 1 species